AGCUCCAAUAGCGUAUAUUAAAGUUGUUGCGGUUAAAAGCUCGUAGUUGGAUUUCUGUUGAGGGAGCGCGGUCCGCACUUUGUGCGUGUAUCUGUGUCUGUCUCGGCAUCCUCAUGGGGAAGGCGUCUGUGCUUGAUUGCAUAGCGUCUGAUUCAUGACUUUUACUUUGAGGAAAUUAGAGUGUUCACGGCAAGCUAUCGCUUUGAAUACAUUAGCAUGGAAUAAUAAUAUAGGGCUUAAGUUCUAUUUUGUUGGUUUCUAGGGCAUAAGCAAUGAUUAAUAGGGAUAAUUGGGGGCAUUCGUAUUAACGCGUCAGAGGUGGAAUUCUUAGAUUGCGUUACGACGAACUACUGCGAAAGCAUUUGCCAAGGAUGUUUUCA
rnacentral:rRNA from 1 species